AGGGCAACGCAUCUCUGCUACUGAAGAAUGUAACCCCCGCUGACUUCGGGAACUACACCUGUCAUGCUAGUUUAUAUGAGAACAGCCCCCAAACUUUACACACUGUCCUGCUGAUGCAGAAAGAGACCCAAGGUGCAAACGUUCCAGGAGGACGUGAAAACCUACUCCGCAUUAUAAGCAUUUGUGUCCCAUUGAGCAUAGUAGUGAUUCUUGUAGGGGGUUCUGUAGGAUACUGUUGGUGGAAAAAGAAGACUAUGAAGUCUAAAGCAGGUGAUGCAGAAGCAGCUCCAGAAAUGGAGGAAUUCACACGCCCCAGAAACUCAGAAAAUACUUCAGUGACACCCCUACACUGAACUGGUACCACGACUCUUCCCUCCUCUGCUGUGACUCCCUCCGCUCGCCACCCACAGUUUCUCUCUGAACUGCAUCCUGCAGUGCAGGGCUACAACAAGGAGUCCAGUGGCACCAGAUCCCUCCUUGUUUUUGUGGCUACAGACUAGCAGGGCUACCCCCUGAUACCUGCAGGGCUGCUUUAUUCUGGCGUUUCCCCCUAACCUGACCCUGCUCCACUUUGCAACCUGGGAACCCUUUUUAGGUGAGACCGAUAAGUAGCAGGCUCAACAAACUGUAAACCAAGCUGCUCAUUGUUGUUUGAACAGGAAAGGGUUGAAAUGGGUGAAAGGCAGGGAAGGAACCCAAGGCUGCUGUGCACUGGGAAAGCUGGAGUCUCGCAAAGUAAACAGUGAGCUGGAGACUGUGUUUCUCUUCGAUAAUACACCUGGCCGACCUGCCUCCGUACCUUACUGGAGUCUGUGGUCAUUGGGGGUUCUCCUGGGGUUUGCAGCGUCAGCGACCUGCGCAGAGCCGGGCCAGCACACAGAGGGAACACGCAGGGAGCCGACUGUUACCAACAUUGAGCAGAGCACCACACCGGUAGCGUCUGACGACACACUCAUUUGCUUACACA